ensembl:miRNA MIR181A1 microRNA 181a-1
GAGGUUGCUUCAGUGAACAUUCAACGCUGUCGGUGAGUUUGGAAUUAAAAUGAAAACCAUCGACCGUUGAUUGUACCCUACAGCUAACCG